rnacentral:lncRNA from 1 species
AUUUUUUUAUUAUAAAUAAUAAUAUACUAAUCUCAUUAAAUAUGAUUUAUAAUCUGAGCAUUAGUCUCGUAUAAUUCAAAAAAAUUAAUCAGCACAGCCACAAACUCACAUUUGGUGAGAGAGCUCAGCUCCACGUCAAAUACGGCCCCUUCUUGUCCAAUCCGUAAACAAGUUCCAUUAAGUCCGGUUGUCUGUUCCUCUCGCUUUCUCUUCACCAAACUUCGGUUGGGAAGAGACUCGUCGAAGAUUUGGUUUCAUGCAUGCAUGUUAUUGAAGCCCACAGCAUUAUUGAAAACCACUCAAAUGAUCCCAAACAAACCCGUUUAAUCUAUCUUUUUAUUUUCUCUAAAUAAGAUUUAUGAUUCAUGAAGUGGGUCAAAAGUUGCUUCCUAAAUAAUGUUACUAUAAUCCUAUAUUUAAUCUCUAAAUUAAAUGACAGAUUAGUGCAAGCUGGUCGUAAAAGCAUCCGGAUACCAGCACAUUCUUGGUCACCUUGUAGUUUACCCACCAAAAGAAAUUAAAUUAAUAAAGUAAUUAACAUAAACGUCCUCCCACAGUCCCAUGCUUAAAUUUCCACAAGAUAAGAUUUUUUUUUUUCUUGUACAGUUUUGAAGAGGAACCAUUACCUAAGAAGAUACUUUAAAGAAUCGAUUGAUUAAUUAAUUGAAGCAUUGUGCCUAAAUUAAACACAACAGUUGCAGCAGCUUGAAAGACAUAGAUUAUUCAUUAGAAAGCAUGAUGCACAUUGACUAAGCAACCGUAUAAGUUUUCUCUAGAAAUAAAAUCUUUUGAUUUUGAUUUGAAACUUAUAUUAGGCCCACCCGAAGACGGAAGGAGAGAAAAGGUUAGUAAGCAAAGGGCCACAGCCACUAGAAUUUUCGAGGCUUCAAUCGCCAAUGAUCUUUAAAUAGAAAGUUGUAUUAAUAAUUGAUGAUUGAUGAUGUAUUAAUUUGUUCCCUCACAAUUAGGUAAUUUUUCUGCAAUUGUUACUUGCUUGAACCAACAAAAUUGGUUUGAUGUUGUUGUCACCUCAACCUAUUUCCAAAUCCCUUCUCAAAGUCAGAUUACAAUACGCGUGUUUAGCUAAAGCAUUUGAAAGAUCGGGUGCGUGUAAUUAAGAAUUAAGAUAUAUCCAUGCUUAGAUAAAUUCCAAAAUAAAUUGAGUCCCUAUUUUCUUUUAUGAUUAUUUAAUAAUGUGAGAUGAAAGUGAAAAUGCAUUUUUUCGAUAUGGGAAAAAUAUGAAAUUUUCUUUUGUUUUAUUUUGAAAAUACUUCAGUUCCAAAUAUAUCUAAACAUCAUAAGAAAAUGUUUUAUAGCAAUUAUUAUUAUUUCUUCAUGUACAUAACUUUCUUUUUUUUUCAGAUACGGCAUGUGCAAAAUCUUUAAGAUCACCAAUCAUUUUUCAUUUUUUUUUUCAUUCAUCUUUUGCAAAAACCACGGACAACAAACAAGAAUUAUUUUAUAGCCAGUUAGCCGCAGUGAUUGAGUAUUAGGAGAAUAAACCUGAACCACUUGUUGAUUGGUAAAAUUAAAUAAAAUCUCGCUUAUGUUUUAAAAUAGUCCAAAGAUCCUUCUUGUGAUAAAUGUCUCCACUUUUAUUGAUCAUUUUACUAAUACCCUUUGUCUUGAUGCCAGCCAUGUAGUUUAAAUGUAUUGAGAAUAUAAAUAAAGCACGAGGAUAAUGACUUUUAUACUCUUAGACGUUGCAUUAAUGGGGCAAAGCUAUGUUAUAACAGUAGUACCGUACCACUGUUGUAAUUAGUUAUUGAAUUUAUAAUUAUACAGUUGUAUUAAGAAGAUUCAAUGGUUGAAAGCAACAGUGAUACCGUACCACUGUUGCAACAUAAUUGGACCUGCAUUAAUGUAUAUAAAAAAAAAAUUUAAAUUAUAGAGAAAAGUAAAAAGCAAUUUUGUAAAGUAACUUCGCAAAAUAUCACCACUAGUUGGCACUCGCAAUUUUCAAUUUGCAAAAGCAUGAAGAAGUGGUCCUCCGUUUAUGGUUUCGUUGCGCAUUUCAUUUUCUAACUUUUGGGACAAUUGCUUCUAAUCGUAGAAGAAAAAAAGAAUCAUCAUCUUUAUAUUUUUCUUUAUUCUUCUACCGUGUUGCGAUUGGACUGUGAAUAGAAAAUUUGAUUACGUUGAAAUAUUCACAAUUGGCGACGUAAGCGUCAUUGUAUAAUUUCUUUUUUUUUUUUCUCUGGUUUACUUAGUCAUGCAUGACAAUGAAUGAAUUCCGUAGAAUAAGAGCAAAUUUUCAAAAAUGCAUUAUUACUUCAUUUAUAUUAACUGACACGAGCAUCGUUCGUUUUACACGUAUCAAAUGUACAUGUUUAGUUUUAUAAAAGCUUAUUAUGCUUCCCCAGAUCCCGUGUACGAUGGUCGUUUUUAUUGGUCCUUGUUAUAUAAUGAUGUAAUAUUGGUUUUAUUUGUGCAUGAGUUUGGUUUUUUUUUAAAAAUUAUGAGCUCAAUUUAUACUUAAAAAUUACUUAGAAGUUAGAUAUUUGUCUUAAGCUUAUACUUUUAAGAUCCGUUUUGAAUCUUUUUGGAAGUUUUAAUAGUGAUUUUAAAAAGUUUAAAGUUAAUUUUAGUGUUUGGAAAUUUUUUUCAAAAAUUACUUUUAGCAAAAUAUCCACAUCU